GGGGUAGUACUGGUUUCGACAGGGAUCAUGCAGCUGGUGAAGCUAUCCGCAUGCGAUGCGUUAAAUGGCAAAAUUAAAUACAAACGCUAACGAUAGAGAAUUAGCACUGGCAGCCUAAGCGCUGUCUGUCAGCCUUAGAGCACCCACACUUUAAGAACCUGGCAUCGAUCAUGUGGGAAACGACAUGUGCAAAGCUUUGAGCAUAUGGGCGUAUCAUGAAGCUACUGAACGCAUUAGGGUGUUAGUCCCCGAAUGCCGGAGGGAAUGAUAAAUGACUGACUAUGAUAGUAGAAGAACAGGGAAUUGGUUUUUGGACACGGGUUCAAAUCCCGUCUACUCCAU
rnacentral:tmRNA from 1 species